UCUCUUUCGAGACCCCAGGUCAGUCGGGAACACCCCC
rnacentral:rRNA from 1 species